rnacentral:rRNA from 1 species
CCUACGGGAGGCAGCAGUGGGGAAUAUUGCACAAUGGGGGGAACCCUGAUGCAGCGACGCCGCGUGGGUGAAGAAGUAUUUCGGUAUGUAAAGCCCUAUCAGCAGGGAAGAAAAAUGAAGGUACCUGACCAAGAAGCAUCGGCUAAAUACGUGCAAGCAGCCGCGGUAAUACGCAUGGUGCAAGCGUUAUCCGGAUUUACUGGGUGUAAAGGGAGCGCAGGCGGUACGCUGAGCCUGAUGUGAAAACCCGGGGCCCAACCGCGGGAGUGCAUUGGGUACUGGCCGGCUAGAGUACUGGAGGGGCAGGCGGAAUUCCAAGUGUAGCGGUGAAAUGCGUAGAUAUUAGGAGGAACACCGGUGGCGAAGGCGGCCUGCUGGACGAAGACUGACGCUGAGGCUCGAAAGCGUGGGGAGCAAACAGGAUUAGAUACCCGGGUAGUC